GCCUAACACAUGCAAGUCGUACGAGAGUUUUUAACUCAAGUGGCGCACGGGUGAGUAACACGUGGAUAAUCUACCCGACAGUCAGGGAUAACAUUUCGAAAGAGAUGCUAAUACCUGAUAAGCCUACGCCCUCCUCGGAGGAAGUAGGAAAAGGUGGGGACCUUCGGGCCUACCGUUGUUGGAUGAGUCCGCGGCCCAUUAGCUAGUUGGUAGGGUAAUGGCCUACCAAGGCUACGAUGGGUAGCUGGUCUGAGAGGAUGAUC
rnacentral:rRNA from 1 species